rnacentral:rRNA from 1 species
UACGUAGGGUGCAAGCGUUGUCCGGAAUUAUUGGGCGUAAAGAGCUCGUAGGCGGUCUGUCGCGUCGGCUGUGAAAACUCGGGGCUCAACCCCGAGCCUGCAGUCGAUACGGGCAGACUAGAGUGCUGUAGGGGAGACUGGAAUUCCUGGUGUAGCGGUGAAAUGCGCAGAUAUCAGGAGGAACACCGGUGGCGAAGGCGGGUCUCUGGGCCGAUACUGACGCUGGAGGAGCGAAAGCGUGGGGAGCGAACAGG